rnacentral:rRNA from 1 species
UACGUAGGGUGCAAGCGUUAAUCGGAAUUACUGGGCGUAAAGCGUGCGCAGGCGGUUUUGUAAGUCUGUCGUGAAAUCCCCGGGCUCAACCUGGGAAUGGCGAUGGAGACUGCAAGGCUAGAGUUUGGCAGAGGGGGGGUAGAAUUCCACGUGUAGCAGUGAAAUGCGUAGAUAUGUGGAGGAACACCGAUGGCGAAGGCAGCCCCCUGGGUCAAAACUGACGCUCAUGCACGAAAGCGUGGGGGAGCAA